CGCGACCCCAGGUCAGGCGGGGCUACUCGCUGAGUUUAAGCAUAUC
rnacentral:rRNA from 1 species